AUAGCUCAGUGGUAGAGUGCCUGCUUAGCAUGCAUGAGGUCCUGGGUUCAGUUCCCAGU
rnacentral:tRNA from 1 species